AUUUAAAUAGUUUAGUUAGAAUAACAGUUUGUGGUACUGAAGGUGUAUUUAUGCUUUAAAUU
rnacentral:tRNA from 1 species